UCAGACCAAAGCGAGCCAGUAAACAAAAUCAAGAACUUCGUGAUCAUUGUCAGUAAGACAGCAAGUCAGGAUGUGGGACUGAUAUCCUGGCCCUGGGUCAAGAGCAAUGAGUAGGACCAAGAAAGGCCAACAGCCAACAUGGAAUUAUACCUGGAGGAGGUGGCCACUAUGUGCAUGAUUUAUGAUAGCAGCACCAGUGGCUAGAAGCUAUUGGUGAUAGAUUGGCUGACUCUGCUUCUGCUGAGGACGAGUACAGGCCCUAACAGUUAUUAUAUGAACAAGGAUGGAGACCAGUGUUAGAUAAUUUUAUUUUCCAUGGUAACAGAUUUCGAGGCUCCUCACAGUACUAUACAAGGAAACUGAGACUCAUAUAGAGGUCUCAUACAUACAGUAAGUGGCAGAUCUAAGAUUUGAACACAAGUCUUCCUGCUCCAGGUCCACUGUUCUUUUCACUAUUCAAGAAAAAAUAGUAGAAUGAACAUUACCAACAGAACAAUUGAAGCCGAAUUCUGGGAAAUUGUAGUGAAUGACCAAACUUGGCCUCAAGAAAGGAUAAGAAAACUGAGACUGAAAAAUGGAGGCUGACUUUCUCAAGAUCACAUAGGUACCCCAAACUGGAAGACUCACCCUGGCAGAACGGGCAGAUGAGAACAAUUUGUCCCAACGGCCAUGAAGAUGGCUAAAGCAGGCACUGUGGAGUGCUUAGAGC